AAGUUUUGGCGUAUACGCGCACAAAGCUGACUUUACUGCUUUCUGAGGUUACAGGUAAACGAGCUGCUCGAGUUACUUGACCCUCCUGGUUCUAUCAGUUUAACAGGAGUUUUGACUUAUCAUUCGGGAAACGAAGAAUAUUUGGCUUUGACGGACGACGGGAAAGUUUGGGGGGAACAAACACUCCGUAAGCUACUGUUGUAUGGAAGAAAUCGUCCGAAAAUGUGGACGUCCGACGUAUUGUUUCUGUUGACAGGGCGACGAGUAGUCGGUAAAGACAAGAAAAAUAAAAAGACGCCGAUUGCUGGGAUCUCUGUAGAAAACGGAGCCUGUGGCCAUGGGAAAGUGAUGAUUGUUUCGUAUAUCCAUAACCAGGUUAUGCUCAUAUAACCACAGCGCACGAAAUUGGUCAUCUGCUGGGAUCACCUCACGAUGGUCAUGGUACAUCAGCUGACUGCGCAAACUAUUAUUAUAUAAUGGGCACCGAAGCGACAAUGUCCACAGAGCCUUUCUACUCAAAGUGUUCUAAGGCUGCCAUUAGCAAAUUUUUGAGUACCCCCAAGGCUCAAUGCUUGUUCCGAGACGACUACGUUCCGGCCAUAAAGGUCAAUCCAACACGUGAGAAAGAGAGGACUGAUAAGUGUAGCAAUUUUUUGGAUGAGGGCCAGAAACUCAUGGCUACUGAGACCUACGGAUACUGCUGGUUUUCGUGCUACACUGACCUCUCGUCUUCAUUUGUCCUGCCGGAAAAGGAUGGUACACCCUGCAACGGCGGAGAUCCCUCAAUG